rnacentral:rRNA from 1 species
CGGACGGGUGAGUAAUGCUUGGGAAUCUAGCUUAUGGAGGGGGAUAACUACGGGAAACUGUAGCUAAUACCGCGUAAUAUCGAAAGAUUAAAGUGUGGGACCUUCGGGCCACAUGCCAUAAGAUGAGCCCAAGUGGGAUUAGGUAGUUGGUGAGGUAAAGGCUCACCAAGCCGACGAUCUCUAGCUGGUCUGAGAGGAUGACCAGCCACACUGGGACUGAGACACGGCCCAG